GACGAACCGUGCGAACGUUGUUCGGAAUCACUGGGCUUAAAGGGCGCGUAGGCGGUCUGCCAAGUCAGGGGUGAAAGCCUCCAGCUUAACUGGAGAAGUGCCUUUGAUACUGGCGGACUGGAGCGAGGUAGGGGUCGUGGGAACUUCCGGUGGAGCGGUGAAAUGCGUUGAUAUCGGAAGGAACGCCGGUGGCGAAAGCGCACGACUGGACCUCUUCUGACGCUGAGGCGCGAAAGCCAGGGGAGCAAACGGG
rnacentral:rRNA from 1 species